rnacentral:rRNA from 1 species
GACGAACGCUGGCGGCGUGCCUAAUACAUGCAAGUUGAGCGCUUGAGGGUGGUACUUGUCCCGACUGGAUGAGCAGCGAACGGGUGAGUAACGCGAGUGGACUCUGCCUUGGAGCAGGGGACAACAUUUGGAAACGAAUUCUAAUACCGCAUAAAAGCUUUAAACACAAGUUUUAUGUUUGAAAGAUGCAAUUGCAUCACUUAAAGAGGAUCCCGCGUUGUAUUAGCUAGGUGGUUAGGUAAAGGCUCACCAAGGCGAUGAUACAUAGCCGGCCUGAGAGGGUGAACCGCCCAAAUGGGAAUGGGAAACGGCCCAAACUUCCACGGGAGGCAGGCGUAGGGAAUCUUUGGACAUGGAGGAAAGGCCGAACGCGGAAAGCCGGGGGAGGGAAGAAGGGUGUCGGGUCGUAAAACUCCGUUGGUAGGGAAGAACGUUGGGGAGGGUGGAAAGCUCAUGAAGUGACGGUAACUACACAGAAAGCGACGGCUAACUACGUG